rnacentral:lncRNA from 1 species
UUGUGGUAACGCCUGUAACAGUGGGUGUUUGAGUGUUUGAGGUUUGGGGAUUAGAAGCAGAUUCCAUUUGUUGGGAGAAGUUAAAAACUUCUUGCUCUUGAGCAUUCAUGAAGAAAAUUGAUGAAGAAGAUGAAGAACUGAAGGAGUUGCAGAGAAAACUUCGAGAGAGGGUUUAGGGUUUAAGAGUGAGUGAGAGUGAUAAGUGUGUGAAAUGUGAGAAAAGUGUUUAUAUACCUAAGUAAAAACGCAUGCAAAACGACACACAUACCAGCGUUAGACACAAAACUCAAAAUGGC